rnacentral:lncRNA from 1 species
AUUUCAUAAAAUUAUACUUUUGUAAGUAUAUGAUUUUAAACGAAGCGUUAUAGUAUAUAUAUAUAUAUAUUUUUUUUUUUUUUUUUUUGUAUUAAUAAACUAGUAACAAUUACAAUGAAGACAUUUUUUUAAAAAUGCAAAAAGAUUUUCACAUUUAUGACUUUUUUAACUUAUCUUUAUUAUUCCCAAUAAAAUUUUUUAAUUCAAAUGAGAAAAACAUAAUCCAAGUACUUAAAUCUGUAUUUAUCCAAACGAGUUGAAAAAGCUUAUAAAUCAUAGCUAUUUAACAACAUAUACAUAUAUAGUUAUAUGCAUAAUUAUAUUUUAUUUGUUCCAAUAGUAUAAAUAAAUAAAAAUUAUGCAAUACAUAUUUAGCUUGUUAAGAAUGAACAUGAAUGCUAACAUUUUUUUUUAUGAUGUUUUGGUUUACAUAUAGUUGAUAUCGGAAGACACUAACAUAAAUGAUUUGGAACACAUACAGACUAUUCUUAAAAAUGUAGAACAAAACGAAAUUGACAAUUUGAAAAUUUUUAACAUAGAGAAUAUAAUAUUUGAGCUAUCAGGUUAUAUAUAAGAAAAAAAUGUGUAUUAUAAAUAAAAAAAAAAAAAAAAGAAAGAAAAAGAACAAACAAAUAAAAAACUGUGCUUAUUUUUUCUAAAAUAUAUUUCCACAGAUGAAAUCAUAAGACAAAUAAUGAUUGAAUGUUCUAAACGUGGCUAUGCCUUAAUACUGAUAAAUAAUGAAAUACAAAAAAAUAUUUAUAAUUAUAAAAGCUUAAUAGAAAUCAUUGAGCAUAAUAAUAAUAUAAACAAGGAAAUUUUUAAAAAAUCGGAAGAAGAAUAUAAAAUUGUGUUAGAACAGUUGUCUUUAGAAGAAAAUGAAUUAAGUGAUAAAUUAAGUGAGUUGCAACACGAGCUUCAAUUAUUAAAAAAUGAAAAUGCAAAGAAAAUGCAAGAAAAUAAAAAUAAACAAGAGAUACAGGUUUUUUUUUUUAAAUUUUUUUUUUUUUUUAAAUGAUCUUUUAUAAACAAAUCAUAUAUGUGUUGCAUUCUCUUCGUUUUUUUCUUUCUUAUUUUAGCUUACAUUGGUUUUAUUUUAUAUAUAUAUAUAUAUGUUUUUUUUUUUUUUUGCUUGUUUUGAUUCUUUUAAAUUAGUAUGAUUUGUUGAAGCAUAAUGAAUUAUUACUUGAAAAAAUUCAAGCAUGUUAUGAUAAAAAAGGAGAAUUUUAAAAAAAGUUAAAAAAAAAAAAAAAGGAAAAAAAGAAUGAAUAAAAGAAAGAAAACCUAUGUAUGAAUAAGUAUA